UGCCUCAAAAGUUGCUAUCAUAUGUGAGA
rnacentral:piRNA from 1 species